AGCAGCCGCGGUAAUUCCAGCUCCAAUAGCGUAUAUUAAAGUUGUUGCAGUUAAAAAGCUCGUAGUUGAAUUUCGGGAUCAAUAUGUUGGUCGUGCCUCGGUACGUACUAGCUUAUUGGUUUCUCCUUUCUGAAGAACCAUGAUGUCAUUUAUUUGGUGUCGUGGGGAAUCAGGACUGUUACUUUGAAAAAAUUAGAGUGUUUAAAGCAGGCUCACGCUUGAAUACAUUAGCAUGGAAUAAUGAAAUAGGACGUUUGAUUCUAUUUUGUUGGUUUCUAGGAUCGACGUAAUGAUUAAUAGGGAUAGUUGGGGGCAUUAGUAUUCAAUUGUCAGAGGUGAAAUUCUUGGAUUUAUUGAAGACUAACUACUGCGAAAGCAUUUGCCAAGGAUGUUUUCAUUAAUCAAGAACGAAAGUUAGGGGAUCGAAGACGAUCAGAUACCGUCGUAGUCUUAACCAUAAACUAUGCCGACUAGGGAUCGGAUG
rnacentral:misc_RNA from 1 species